GUUAAAGUGACUCAUACUCUUAAUUUAACCAGUGUUGUUGAAAAAGCUUAGGAGUUGACUGUUCACUUUCUCUGUUUGCUGACCUCUGACCUGUGCAUAAGGCUGCAGUUGCACUGUGAAUAUUUGACACUAGAGGGCAGCAAGACACUGUCUGCUGGCAGAAUAGUGAAGAUGACAUUCUCACAAACAGGAGGAGAAUACAGAACAGGUGUGUCAUCCCCUCGGUGCUGACCCCGUCAAUGGCUGAGAUGAUGUCGCCCUGGGCCAAGCUGCCGCCCACUGCCUUGCUGCCCGGAGUUAUCUAUGCAGGGGUCAACAGAGCAGGUAUCUGAGUGCAGUUGUACUCACUCCAGCCAAAGAAGGGGGGUAGGCUCCAGCCCAUGGAGUAGAACCAGGCAGCACCCACGAUGCUCAGGGCUUUCCUGCGAGACAUCUCCCCCAAGGAGGCCAGAGGCCUGGUGAUCACCAUGUACCGGUCCACCGCAAUCACCAUUAGUGUAAUCAUACUACAGAUACCAAACAGUGCUCCGCAGAAUGCAUAUACCUCACAACCUGCACCAGGAGAGGUAAAGGAGGGACAAAGAAGCAGUAGAGGGGAAGAAAAAAUAUGUUUGAUAUCCGGAUAAAUGCAUUUCUGGCAGUAGAUCCUGCAGCUGGGAAAGUCUACAGUUGAAAGUAUUGUGUGAUAGAUGAAAAGAGCUGAAAGGCUGAAAACAGCCAGAACUAAUGAUAAUACAGUUACAUUAACCUAAGUUUGGAAACAAAUGUUUGUACCCAUAGUCUUUUUUUCCUUUUACAUUUUAGCCAUGCUAGCCACAUAGCUUGAGGAAUGGUUGAUGACUUGAUUCUGUCAUGGUUUUGUGGUUAUUUCCUGUUUUAUUUUGUUAAACCCUUCCUCUUGUGUCUGUGCUUACUUAACUUCUCGUCUCUCUGUUUUUCGCUUACAGUCUAUGGUUUUUCCUUGUUUAUUGAUUUGUUCUGUAAACUUCCACCUUUAUUUUGUUACUUAUGUCUCCUCUCGUUUCUGUUCACUUCACUUCCUGCUCUUGUGUUUUCCUGCUUGUUGCACCUGUGCCUUGUUAAUCACCUCCCUCUUGUAUAUUUAAGUGUGUGUCUUCCCAUUGUCUGUUGUAGGAUAUAUAAGUUUUCUUAAUAAACAGUAGGAGCUUUCA